AACCCUAUAUGAUGAUCAACAAGGGACUUAAUACUGAUAAUGUGUGAUGUCACCUCGUUAUUUGUCUGAUUCCGUCUGUCAUGGGU
rnacentral:snoRNA from 14 species